rnacentral:rRNA from 1 species
ACUACGGGCGGCAGCAGUGGGGAAUAUUGGGCAAUGGGCGCAAGCCUGACCCAGCAACGCCGCGUGAAGGAAGAAGGCUUUCGGGUUGUAAACUUCUUUUCUCAGGGACGAAGCAAGUGACGGUACCUGAGGAAUAAGCCACGGCUAACUACGUGCCAGCAGCCGCGGUAAUACGUAGGUGGCAAGCGUUAUCCGGAUUUACUGGGUGUAAAGGGCGUGUAGGCGGGAAAGCAAGUCAGAUGUGAAAACCAUGGGCUCAACCUGUGGCCUGCAGUUGAAACUGUUUUUCUUGAGUACUGGAGAGGCAGACGGAAUUCCUAGUGUAGCGGUGAAAUGCGUAGAUAUUAGGAGGAACACCAGUGGCGAAGGCGGUCUGCUGGACAGCAACUGACGCUGAGGCGCGAAAGCGUGGGGAGCAAACAGGAUUAGAUACCCUUGUAGUC